rnacentral:rRNA from 1 species
UACGUAGGGUCCGAGCGUUGUCCGGAAUUACUGGGCGUAAAGAGCUCGUAGGUGGUUUGUCGCGUUUGUCCGUGAAAACUCACAGCUCAACUGUGGGCGUGCGGGCGAUACGGGCAGACUGGAGUACUGCAGGGGAGACUGGAAUUCCUGGUGUAGCGGUGGAAUGCGCAGAUAUCAGGAGGAACACCGGUGGCGAAGGCGGGUCUCUGGGCAGUAACUGACGCUGAGGAGCGAAAGCGUGGGGAGCGAACAGG